GCUCGAGCUUUUCUUCAUUAUCGCAUAAAUUUUUCGCCUUUUACUAAAGAUUUCCGUGGAGGGAAACUUUUUGCGACUGACUUGUAUUUUUGGAUGCUCUGAUCACAGCAGAGCU
rnacentral:snRNA from 1 species